GGGGUAAGGGGAUAAUUUACCAAUUCCUGAGGUAAGGUUUGUGUCAGCAUUUUGAUUUAUUUUUCUUAGGGAUUUUCCUCAAAGCUCUGGUCGGUCUGGAAGGAAUUCACCAAUAUCAGUUAGCAACUCUGAGUCCGAGGGAGCAUGCAUGGGUAGGUCUAUUAAACAUUUCGGGAUGUUUGAACUAUAGAAGGAUGUUAAUUCCAUAACUUAUAAUUUGUUCACAGUACUACGAACCAGUCGACUAAUUUUUGUAUUUUUUUAUAUUUUUCAACCUGAUCUAGCUCCAGGAAGGACACAGUCGGGUAGCGACCAAGAAUCUCUCGACAAAGGCAACAAGGUACGGCGGUACUUACUGUAUAAAGGUGCUAUUAGUAUUUGCUAUUAAUAUUUUUUAUUAUUAUUUACGAAAUCCUAAUCUCAACUUUGAUCGGC